AAAACAUGUCUUAUUGAUAAUAAUUUUAAGUCUAAUCUGCCCAAUGAAAUUUAAAUGGCUGCAGUAUCAAUAACUGUACAAAGGUAGCAUAAUAAUUAGUUUUUUAAUUGAAAACUAGAAUGAAAGAUUAAAUGAAAUAUAAACUUUAUAAAUAAAACAAAAAUUUAAAUUAAAUUUUAAGUUAAAAUUCUUAAAUAUAAUUAAAAGACGAGAAGACCCUUUAGAAUUUUAUAUUAAAUAUAAUUAAAUUUAUAAUAUUUUAAAUAUAAAUUAUAUUUAAUAUUUAAUUGGGGUAAUUUUAUAAUUUAAUAAACUUUUAAAUAAUUAUAACAUUAAUUAAUGACUAUAUAAUCCUAAUUUUUAGUAUUUUAAAAUAAAUUACCUUA
rnacentral:rRNA from 1 species